UUAAAAGUUCUGGAAACUGAAGUCCUCUGUUCAUCUGCAGAAAUGGUACAGCACAGACAGUGGCAAAACAAGCUUCCCCCUUGUUGACCUGCCAAUCUGCCUCAAUCCAAAGCGGAAAGAACACCUCUAGGAGUCAUAGAGUUUAAGGCCAGAAGGGACCACCAGAUAAUCCAGUCUGUCCU
rnacentral:sRNA from 1 species